GGAAUUUAUUUUGUUUGCAGCUAAAGCUCGUAGUUGGAUUUUUGGUUAAGAGGGAGCGGUCCGCCGUUUGGUCUGUACUGCGUUGUCUUGACUUCCUGAUGAGGACGUGCUCUUGGUUAACGCUGAGACAUGGAGUCAUCGUGGUUACUUUGAAAAAAUUAAAGUGUUCAGAGCGGGCUUACCCUUGAAUAUAUUAGCAUGGAAUAACACUAUAGGACUCCUGUCCUAUCUCGUUGGUCUCGGGAUGGGAGUAAUGAUUAAGAGGAACAGUUGGGGGCAUUCGGAUUUCAUUGUCAGAGGUGAAAUUCUUGGAUUUAUGAAAGACGAACUUCUGCCAAAGCAUUUGCCAAGGAUGUUUUCUUUAAUCAAGAACGAAAGUUGGGGGCUCGAAGAUGAUUAGAUACCAUCCUAGUCUCAACCAUAAACGAUGCCGACUAGGGAUUGGUGGAUGUUAAUUGAUGACUUCACCAGCACCUUAUGAGAAAUCAAAGUUUUUGGGUUCCGGGGGGAGUAUGGUCGCAAGGCUGAAACUUAAAGGAAUUGACGGAAGGGCACCACCAGGCGUGGAGCCUGCGGCUUAAUUUGACUCAACACGGGGAAACUUACCAGGUCCAGACAUAAGUAUGAUUGACAGAUUGAGAGCUCUUUCUUGAUUCUAUGGGUGGUGGUGCAUGGCCGUUCUUACUUGGUGGAGUGAUUUGUCUGGUUAAUUCCGUUAACCAACGAGACCUCAACCUGCUAAAUAGUACGGCCCUAUUCUUAGGGUCGCGACUUCUUAGAGGGACUAUGUGCGUUUAUCACAUGGAAGUUUGAGGGAUAACGAGUCUGUGAUGCGC
rnacentral:rRNA from 1 species